rnacentral:lncRNA from 15 species
CCCGGGUUCGCCCUGUGGCCCUUUGCUAUGUAUGGCUGCAAAGCAUGCGUCCCCCCAAUAAAAACGCAUGAAAAGCCCAGAAAAUCUGGGCAUAUCUUACAGCUGUUUUUAUCCACAGAGGAAGUGAGUCCACCACAGUAUGUUUCUACAGUAGACCAGAACAGACAAACCAAACACUGGCUUUGGAUAGGGACUUAGGAAGUAAAAAAAGAUAUCCUGCUAUCUAACAGGCUAAAAAAAACUCUCCUGACUGGAAAUGAAACCUCUUUAGACCCUGCUGCACCACCUUCCCUCCUGCAUGAAGCCCAGCAGGACAUCAGUAUAUUCUAAGGUGCAAAGCCUUUGUUUCCCAGGUUUCAAGGAGCUACGUUUUUAAAUGUCCCAGCAGAUUAAUCAGUCCCUAAGAAGAAAGGAGCUCUUUUUCCUCAAAGUUCACCCCAGGACUCGGACCAUCAUGGUAAUGAUGUUUGUGUUUUUCUCUCCAGGCCCCAGCCUGAUUCUCUCUGGAGAACGCCACAGGUCAAAGGGAGGGAGAAAUGCACCGGCGAAAAUCUAAUGUGUCCUCUUCCAGUCUCAGAAUCGAUGGAUUGGAAC